rnacentral:lncRNA from 1 species
AUCCUCUUUGUGGGAGGAACAAGCAAAUGUUCCUAGGGUGUGGCCUUCCCCCAGAGAGGACGUGCCACCCCGCAGCGUGGAGGAUCUUGGAUGGGCAGAUGUAUUUGCGUGUGAUCUUUAUACACCCCCUGCCCCUUUCCAGUUUCAUUUGUCAGGUUAGUUGAGAAGUGGCAUGUGAAUCCAGGACUGAUGCUGUGGCCCGAGGGAGCCACGAGGAUGUGCUUGACCAGGCAUCAUUCGUAAGUGUCAGUAUCAUUGGCUGGGCUUGCAUCAGUGUGUGUGCUUGCAAGCGUGUGCCUAUAAAGAUCUGUGUGAGCCUUGUGUAUGGUUUGGGUGGGAACGAGGUAGACAACAGUCUCCAGGCUUGCAGUGGCUUUUAUUACCAAGCUCUGGACCACCGAAAGGACAGCAUCCAGUGCGGUGAUCAAAACUUCAUUUUCUCUCCUCUGCAAUUGCCUUCCCAAUUCCCUCUCCCAACCGCUCCUAAAUAAAGUAGAUGCUUUCAGCCCUCUAUUCAAUCCAAGACGUGAGCCGAUAGUUGAAUCUCCAUAUGAGGCUAAAUAAGUAUAGCUUAAGGUGAUACUGUAUAUUAUGUGUAUGCUCAUACAAUAAAAUACAGUUACCUAGAAUAUUUGGGGAUGAAGCUGUGGUAAUUCGUUAAUGUUUUCUGGCUAACCGAGGCUUAACUAGGCAAUCCUUUUGGUUAUAAGCGCUGCUGAAAGGCUUUUGCAAAACCAAAAUAGUACGCUUUUCUGCUUUCUAAGCGCCAAAGAGUGACAUAAUUGAAUCCUUUGACAUUUCAUGAUCUUGCGGCAUAUGAGGGCUCGUCCUUGGUUCUUACUUAUGAUUACACAUGUCGCAUGGAAAGUGUAGAACUGGUUUGAGUUAAUAUUUACUCCAAGAAGGUGGUUCUCAACCGGGGACAGUUCUGGCUCCCAGGACACAUCUGGCAAUGUAUGGAGACACUUUGAGUUGUCACAGCUGAGGGAAGCUGUUCCUGGUAUGUAGUGGGUAGAGGCCACUGACACGUCUGAGCUCCUUAACAGUGAGCGGGGAGGCCCCCUUCCCCACCCCCACUACAAACAAUUAUUUGCUCUGAAAUGUCAAUAGUGCUGAGAUCGAGAAAUGCCCGUUUAGGACGUAUCUUUAAAAUUUGGGGUCCAAAAAUUUUGACUAAAUUCUUGCACACAAAAUAUUUUGUUUUCAUGGAUCUGGCUUUUCAGAAGAAUCAGGUGCUGGAAAUGUUCUGAAUCAUUGAAGCCUCUAAUUCAUUGACAUUUAUUGUUCCAUAGAACAAAUAGGGAAGCCUGCCAGUUUGCAGAUAGGCAGGCCUGUCCCCAGAUGGCCCGCCAGUGAAUGCUCAGAUUCACUGAAUCAUUUAGGACCAUUAAAAACCAUUAGGGCCACACUCGCUUCGGAUUGAACUAAGCAGAAUAAAUAAUCCCAGAGGGGGCCGUGGCUCACCCUUUUCUCUUUGUCUUUGCAACCCGCAAACUAACUUCUCAGAGACUUGCAGCAGAACUUUCUGAUGAGACAAGGUUCAUGCUACUUCCUGCAGGUCAGGGAUGGCCUGGCCUUGGCACCUUUGGCAGGGUUUCCAGAAUAUGCAGAUCUAGACCUGUACCCUGGUAAUUUGAUUUGGUUUUGUUUUGUUUUAGUAUUUUUAAAAAUUAAAAUAUAGUUGACUUCCAAUGUUGUGCCAACACACACACACACACACACACACACACACACACACACACACGCAAAAUUUUUCUUAUAUCAUUCCCCAUCGGGUUCUAUCCUGAGACUGGACACGGUUCCCUGUGCUGUACAGCAGGACCUCCUUGCUCAUCCAUUCUGAAUGUAAUACUUGGCAUCUACUAACCCCGUCCUCCGAGGGCAUCCCUGUUUAUUGGUUUUGAAUGACCCUUAGUGAGCCUUUGGCAGACCCUGGCUGGUUUGGGUUUGGUGGGUGCAUCCAAAGGCAAAUGGGAGGAUUUUGCAUAUCCUACGUCUUUGAUCCUCUUGGAAGACAUCGUUGGAAGACGAUGGGUCCCUAUACUACAAAGUCUUUAAAGCAAAAUCGAACUUGUUUGGGGAGAGUUAGGAAGGCUUUAGGGCCUUUCAUUACAGUACAGGAAACGCUUUUACUGUGAACUUAAUCUCAGAUGAAACUUCGGUGUCAGACAUUCUGGAUCUGUAUUUCGCAUCUUUGUAUUAACCCACACCCUCUUUCUAGGACACUGUAAGAGUCUAGUUAAGUGAAGUCGGUGUGACUGGUGAAUGCAUGUGAGUAGUUGAAGGAAAGAUGUUCAAUGCUUGGUUUAAUGUGCAGAUUACCAAUCCACAGUGCCCUCUGGCAGGGGUUCUUUAUUUCAUAUAAACGAAGAAGGAAAAAUCUGUCCUUGCAAGACUGACUGAUUUUCCAGAUCAAUCACAGAGGGUGGAGCCAUGCAGACUGAGGCGUGGGUCAUCUCUUGGGUGGAGUUUUAGAGAUUUGCCUUACAUUGUACCUCGGGGGUGGCGGGGGGUGCGCAGGGAGAGAGGACGAGAGGUGGAGUCAGGCGGCCCACAUCUCGGCCUGGUUGAGCUGACCGCCUUCUAGCUCUGUGACCUUGAACAAGUUGCUUAACCUUCCUGAGGCUCAUGAGGACAAUAAGACCCCUGUCCAGGCUUGGUUUGAGGAUCAAGGGGGUGGGAAAGCACUUUGUAAAUUGCAAAGAGCUGAGUAAACAUCAGGCACUCGGGACAUUGUUCCGGUGUUAAGUAAGAGCAGUGCCAUUUGUAAACCAGGUUUUGGGUGUAUCCCCAGCAUUGUUGGUGAGGAGUCCAGCCUGCUCUGCACGCUCUCCUUUAAGGAAGACUGGAUCUCCCCAUCGGCCGUCUUCUAGCUGAGAUGCUAAAUGGAGCCAUGGGUGGUACCUGGGGUCUUUCUCCUUCCCCUGCAGACUCUGAGGGGGCCUAGAUGUGUCUCCCCUCCUCUCUCUCAGAUGGAAUUGUAUUUAUAGCCUGGUAUAAAUACAAUCAGAAGGUUCCUAUAAAACUCUGUUAUUACUGCAGCACGAAGUUAGACGUGCUUGAGGUUUCGGCUUCUUGGCUCUUCCAUGCGGCAAUGAAUAUUUUAUGGGAAAGGAAAUACUUAGUGUCUGACUCUUUUUAUAGUGCAGCUACUCACAGGGCUGGUAACUGUCCAGAUCUCUCCAAAAUCAAAAGCGUUGCCUGUGUCCAUCUCUCUGCUCCUUUCUUCACCAGAAUCCAUCCUGCUGGUGUUGGUGUUCUCCGGGUGAAUCCGUCCAUUUACGCCAUGUGUGGGGUGCCCUUUCCGACCCUAAUGAACACCCUAAACCCAAGGAGUUGGCUGCUCCUCAGCUCUGCCCCACCUCUUCUGGCACUUGGUGGUGCUGGUCAGCCCCAGGAGAGGUGAGCUGGAAGGAUGCCCUGUGGACGCUCCACUUGAAGGCCUCCAUCCUCUUUCUGCCAUGCUGCCUUCGCUCAGUGCCUGUCGCCUCCGGAGGAUGUGACCCAGCCUCUCCAAAGCCUCCUUGGAUCUUGGGAUUCAGAAAGCACUCAGUGAACGUGAGGUCCGGCAGAGCCCAAGGGGCUCCUCCCUCUUAAGGCCUGAGCUUGGGGUGGAAGGUCUUACCCAGAGCAGCCAGCAGGUCAAUGAGAUGUCCCUUUCAGGCCCUUUUACUGUGGUCCCUGCAGUGACCCCAGACGUAAGACCAGAAAAUGGGGCCUGGGCAGUCUUGGCCCUGGCUUGCUAGGCCCAGGCCUUUAAGUAGAGGAAAUGGGUCUCCUGGCAGGUCAGCAUUGGUGGAAAUGGCUCCUCUGGCACCCAAGGCCGUCCUGGCACAGGUGCUCAGCUGGAUUGGCCCAGUGAUCCUCAGGCCCGUGUCAUGACAAUAGCAGCCCCGCAGACCAGGUUUAUGGCCAGAUAACGAUGUCAGGGAACACCCAACCUCGGGAGCUUGCCCACGGGGCUCUCUCCCCAGAGGCCCCCACAGGCUGGCCAAGGACUUAGGUCUCCUGUGAAUUCGGACAAAGCAGCCCGGGUAAAAAAAUUACCAAUGCCCAGAGAGCCCCAAUGUGGAGAGGAUGGCGAGUGUGAAGUGUGGCUUCGGAGACACAGAUGCAGAGCUGGCUGGGCUUCACUGCUUAGCAAGGAUGGGUCUGUGCAAAACACUUUCCAUAAUCUGCAUACGGAUCCCACACUUCAUUUAGCGGGACCCUGGGAGCGCACCAUUUCACCACGUCUGCCUUCUGCUCUGUGUUUGUCUUGGCGCCAAAGUAGGUACAGGGAGAGCGUGAUUUACAAACCUCUGGUGGCUUUGGUUUGUCCUUCCAGCCCUGAUUGCGUUACCACCAGAUAAAGCUGUGUUUCCUCACUGCAGCUUUGUACUGGCUCUUCCAGUGUCCUUUUUACCCCCUCGUCUUUCCUCUUUUUCAGUUUUCAGGCUCCCUGGUGGCACAGGGUGGGCGGCGAGGAGAGGGCUUCUGGUCUUGUAGGAUCACAAGCUCCACUGUGCCUUCAGCUGGGAAGGCGAGGGAAGGGUUAUUUCUUGUUUUUAAUAGAUGGAGUGGGAUCAGCUGAAGGCUCACUGGAGAAACUGAGCACACAUAGCAUUUUUUUUUUCCUGGGGUUGGAUACACAGUGAGGGUAUUGAAUGCAAGUGAACAUGUAGGGUCCGCCAGGUUGAUGGGUGGGAUGGAAGAACUGAAAUCCUCAAAUGGUCUAAAAGCAUCAUUAUUGGUCCUUACUCAUCUGUAACUGGCCCUCUUCGUCUGUGAGGUAAACAGUGGAGAUGGGUAAGAGAAAAAGAACCCAAGAGAGAAUAAAGAGGGAGAACGUCUACUAAAUGUUGUAUACUAAGUAACUGCCUUGUGCUUUUAAAUGAAUAGCUUUCAGGUUAAUUCCAAAGCUAAGACUGGGCAAUUUCCUGGUUCUGGGAUCUGGGUAGUCUAUAGGUGGGAUCAUGGGUCUGGGGAUCAGAUCUGGGUACCAGUAUUGAGCAUCUCAUUCCGUGUCUAGAUAGAGAUGUGCUGAAUCCCAUGGAAGAUUCAAGGGUGUAUAUCUGUAAUCCCUUCUCAGAGGUUAAGGCCACACACACACACACACACACACACACACACACACACGUGCUGCAUACACAGAGGUAGACAUAGCCUGUGGAUCAUGUGAGAGCUGCUUUUCAUUCCAGUGCUCCAGAAAUUCACAGAGCACCCCCAGGGUAUCAAAAAGGAGACACGAGGCGUUCCCGUUGUGGUGCAGUGGGUUAAGGACUUGACGUUGUCUCCCUGAAGACGUGGGUUCGAUUUCUGGCCUUGCUGAGUGGGUUAAGGAUCUGGUAUUGCUGCAGGCUGCGGUGUGGGUUGUAGAUGUGGCUCAGAUCCGGUGUUGUUGUGGCUGUGAUGUCGGCUGGCAGCUACAGCUCUCAUUCAACCCCUGGCCUGGGACUUGCCAUAUGCCAUAGAUGUGGCCAUCCAAAAAAAAAAAAAAA